AUGAUCUCUCUUUCUCAUUCACUUCUUCCUGCUUUUUCGCUUUUCUCAUUCCUUGCUCUCUCUUUCUCGUUCCCUUCUUCCCCCGUUCCCCUUCUCAAAUUCGUUGCGCUCUCUUUCUCGUCCUCUUCUUCCCCCUUUUUCGCUUCACUCAUUCGUUGCGCUCUUUCUUGUUCCUUUCUUCCCCCGUUUCACCCACACUCGUUCAUUGUGCUCUUUCUCAUUCCCUUCUUCUGCUGUUUCCCCCACACUUGUUCGUUGCACUCUUUCUCGUUCCCUUCUUCCCCCAUUUUGCCCUGCACUCGUUCGUUGCGCUCUUUCUCGUUCCCUUCUUCCCCCUUUUCUCCUUCACUUGUUUGUUGCGCUUUUUUUCUCAAUCUCUUCUUCGCCCGUUUUCCCCCGCACUCAUUUGUUGUGCUCUUUCUCAUUCCUUUCUUCUGCCUUUUUCCCUUCCCUCGUUCGUUGCGCUCUUUUUCUCGUUCCCUUCUUCCCCCUUUUUCCCUUAACUCGUUUGUUGCGCUCUUUUUCUCGUUCCCUUCUUCCGCCUUUUUCCCUUCACUCGUUCGUUGCGCUUUUUCUCGUUCCCUUCUUCCUCCGUUUUCCCCGCACUCGUUCGUUGCGCUUUUUCUCGUUCCCUUCGUCCCACUUUUCCCCUUCACUCGUUCGUUGUGCUCUUUUUCUCGUUCCCUUCUUCCCACUUUUCCCCCCGCACUCGUUCAUUGUGCUCUUUUUCUCGUUCCCUUCUUCCGCCUUUUUCCCUUCACUCGUUCAUUAUGCUCUUUUUCUCGUUCCCUUCUUCCGCCUUUUUCCCUUCACUCGUUCGUUGUGCUCUUUUUCUCGUUCCCUUCUUCCUCUGUUUUCCCCGCACUCCUUCGUUGCGCUCUUUCUCGUUCCCUUCUUCCCACUUUUUCCCUUCACUCAUUCGUUGUGCUCUUUUUCUCGUUCCCUUCUUCCCACUCUUCCCAAGCACUCGUUCAUUGCGCUCUUUUUCUCGUUCCCUUCUUCCCCCGUUUUCCCCGCACUCGUUUGUUGUGCUCUUUCUCAUUACCUUCUUUGGCCUUUUUCCCUUCACUCCUUUGUUGCUCGCUCUUUUUCUCGUUCCCUUCUUCCCACUUUUCCUCCGCACUCGCUCGUUGUGCUGUAUUUCUCGUUCCCUUCUUCCUCCGUUUUCCCUGCACUCGUUCGUUGCACUCUUUUUCUCGUUCCCUUCUUCCCAAUUUUUCUCCUGCACUCAUUCAUUGCGCUCUUUUUGUCGUUCCCUUCUUCCCCCUUUUCCCCUUCACUCGUUCGUUGCGCUCUUUCUCAUUACCUUCUUCUGCCUUUUUCCCUUCCCUCGUUCAUUGCGGUCUUUUUCUCGUUCCCUUCUUCCCGUUUUCCCAAGCACUCGUUCGUUGCGCUUUUUCUCGUUCCCUUCUUCCCACGUUUUCCCAAGCACUUGUUCGUUGUGCUCUUUUUCUCGUUCCCUUUUUUGCCCUUUUUCCCUUCAUUCGUUCGUUGCUCUCUCUUUCUCGUUCCCUUUUUCCCUUCACUUCUCUCAUUCGUUGCUCUCUCUCUCUCUCUCUCUUAUCCCUUCUUCCUGGUGUAAUAAUACUGUGCAAGUAG
ensembl:lncRNA